rnacentral:rRNA from 1 species
GACGAACGCUGGCGGCGUGCUUAACACAUGCAAGUCGUACGGUAAGGCCCUUUCGGGGGUACACGAGUGGCGAACGGGUGCGUAACACGUGCGUAACCUGCCCACAACUUUGGGAUAACGCUAGGAAACUGGUGCUAAUACUGGAUAUGUGCUCCUGCUGCAUGGUGGGGGUUGGAAAGCUCCGGCGGUUGUGGAUGGACUCGCGGCCUAUCAGCUUGUUGGUGGGGUAGUGGCCUACCAAGGCGGCGACGGGUAGCCGGCCUGAGAGGGUGACCGGCCACAUUGGGACUGAGAUACGGCCCAGACACCUACGGGAGGCAGCAGUGGGGAAUAUUGCACAAUGGGCGCAAGCCUGAUGCAGCAACGCCGCGUGCGGGAUGACGGUCUUCGGGUUGUAAACCGCUUUCAGCAGGGACGAAGCUUUUUGUGACGGUACCUGCAGAAGAAGCACCGGCUAACUACGUG